UGCCAAUCAUAGCGGAGGAAAAGAAACCAACAGGGAUUGCCUCAGUAACGGCGAGUGAAGCGGCAAAAGCUCAAAUUUGAAAUCCGGUACCUUUGGUGCCCGAGUUGUAAUUUGAAGAUAGUUUUCUGGUGCUGGCCCUUGUCUAUGUUCCUUGGAACAGGACGUCACAGAGGGUGAGAAUCCCGUCUGGCGGGGUGUCCAGUGCUUUGUAGAUUUCUAUCGACGAGUCGAGUUGUUUGGGAAUGCAGCUCUAAGUGGGUGGUAAAUUCCAUCUAAAGCUAAAUAUUGGCGAGAGACCGAUAGCGAACAAGUACAGUGAUGGAAAGAUGAAAAGAACUUUGAAAAGAGAGUGAAAAAGUACGUGAAAUUGUUGAAAGGGAAGGGUAUUAGAUCAGACUUGGUGUUUUGUGAUUAUCUUCCCUUCUUGGGUUGUGCACUCGCAUUUCACUGGGCCAGCAUCGGUUCGGGUGGUAAGAUAAUGACAUUGGAACGUGGCACUGCCUUCGGGUGGUGUGUUAUAGCCCUUGUUGAUGUUGCCUACCUGGACCGAGGACUGCGGCUUUUGCCUAGGAUGCUGGCGUAAUGAUCUAACACCGCCCGUCUUGAAACACGGGACCA
rnacentral:rRNA from 1 species